CCGUACUAGGUCGCAAGACGGAAUUCCCAAGUGCGCGGGUCCCGUGCAACGCCGCACCGUGAACCGUGUCAGGUUCGGAAGAAAGCAGCACUAAGCGGACCGCGGGGUGUGCCGCGGGGAAGCCUGCGCGCCUUGGGUGUACGG
rnacentral:SRP_RNA from 1 species